rnacentral:rRNA from 1 species
GACGAACGCUGGCGGUAUGCUUAACACAUGCAAGUCGAACGAAUAUAUUUAGAGCUUGCUCUAGAUAUAUUAGUGGCAAACGGGUGAGUAACGCGUGGGAAUCUACCCAUCAGUACGGAAUAACUUUUGGAAACAAAAGCUAAUACCGUAUAUUCUCUACGGAGGAAAGAUUUAUCGCUGAUGGAUGAGCCCGCGUCAGAUUAGGUAGUUGGUAGGGUAAUGGCCUACCAAGCCGACGAUCUGUAGCUGGUCUGAGAGGAUGAUCAGCCACACUGGGACUGAGACACGGCCCAGACUCCUACGGGAGGCAGCAGUGGGGAAUAUUGGACAAUGGGCGAAAGCCUGAUCCAGCAAUACCGCGUGAACGAUGAAGGCCUUAGGGUUGUAAAGUUCUUUUAGCAGGGAAGAUAAUGACGGUACCUGCAGAAAAAGCCCCGGCUAACUCCGUGCCAGCCGCCGCCGUAA